UCCUUUGCCAACUUCAUUUUU
rnacentral:piRNA from 1 species